rnacentral:rRNA from 1 species
GACGAACGCUGGCGGCGUGCUUAACACAUGCAAGUCGAACGGAAAGGCCCUGCUUUUGUGGGGUGCUCGAGUGGCGAACGGGUGAGUAACACGUGAGUAACCUGCCCUUGACUUUGGGAUAACUUCAGGAAACUGGGGCUAAUACCGGAUAGGAGCUCCUGCUGCAUGGUGGGGGUUGGAAAGUUUCGGCGGUUGGGGAUGGACUCGCGGCUUAUCAGCUUGUUGGUGGGGUAGUGGCUUACCAAGGCUUUGACGGGUAGCCGGCCUGAGAGGGUGACCGGCCACAAUGGGACUGAGAGACGGCGCAGACUCCUACGGGGGGCAGCAGUGGGGAAUAUUACACAAUGGGCGGAAGCCUGAUGCAGAAACGCCGCGUGCGUGAUGACGGCCUUCGGGUUGUAAACCGCGUUCGCCUGUGACGAAGCGUGAGUGACGGUAAUGGGUAAAGAAGCACCGGCUAACUACGUG